ensembl:lncRNA
CAUAAACCAUGUUAAUAGAAUGAAAUGGAUCCAGGUUCCAUUUAUUCUACAUUAGAUUUACUGCCUGUGGAACACUUCUCCAAAGUGGUCUGAAAUCAAGAUGACUGCAGGUCUGAAUCCCAAACUAAUGGGGGGAAAUGGAUCCAUCUAAUAAGAUGGUAUUUAGAGAAUAAUAGUGAAGACAUCAAAACUAUGGAAUAACACAUGGAAUCAUGUAGUAACCAACAACGUGUUCAACAAAUCAAGUGGAGGCCAGGUCAUCUGAUGCAGCACUCCAUCACUCUCCUUCUUGGUCAAAUAGCCCUUACACAGCCUGGAGGUUUCCUGCUGAAAAACAAAUGAUAGUCCCACUAAGUACAUACCAGAUGGGAUGUCGUAUCUCUUUAGAUUGCUAUGGCAACCAUGCUGGUUAAGUGUGCCUUGAAUUCUAAAUAAAUUCCUGACAGUGUCUCCAGCAAAGCACCAUCACACCUCCUCCUCCAUGCUUCAUGGUGGAACAUACACAUGCAGAGAUCAUCUGUUCACCUUCUCUGCUUCUCACAAAGACACGGCGGUUGGAACCAGAUAUCUUAAAUCUGGACUCAUCAGACCAAAGGACAGAUUUCCACCGAUCUAAUGUCCAUUGCUCGUGUUUCUUGACCCAAGCAAGUCUCUUCUUAUUAUUGGUGUCCUUUAGCAGUGGUUUCUUUGCAGAAAUUGAUAGUGAGGGUGUUUUCUGUUAACAGAAUGUGUUUCUUGUUAAAAGGCUGAAUAUCACUAAAGGGAAUAAGCAAAGACACUAUGUGUAAUUCUGGGAUUGAGUUUACUUAUUGGUUUUAUUCUAUAAUGAACUAUAGUUAUCUGUAGUUAUUGGUAUAAUUCUAUAAUGAACUAUAGUUAUCUGUACUUAUUGGUAUAAUUCUAUAAUGAACUAUAGUUAUCUGUACUUAUUGGUAUAAUUCUAUAAUGAACUAUAGUUAUCUGUACUUAUUGGUAUAAUUCUAUAAUGAACUAUAGUUAUCUGUACUUAUUGGUAUAAUUCUAUAAUGAACUAUAGUGAUCUGUACUUAAUCCUAUAAUGGCCCGUAGUAAUAUUAUAGUCCGAUAAGGGCAUGUAGCAAUCUGAUAAUUUCCUAUAGUAAUCUGUACUUAUUAUUUCCUGGAAAUAAUGUAUAGGUGCGCCACCAAU